AACCCAGUCAAUGAAUCUGCUUACCCAAAUGUGUUUCUGUAGAAAUUUAGAAAAUGCUGGCAAUAGGAAAGCCAUGUUACAGGCCUUAAAAACAUUGAAGUCAUUAAGGCCCUUGAAAAUGGCUAGAAGA
rnacentral:snoRNA from 1 species